GAUGAACGCUGGCGGCGUGCUUAACACAUGCAAGUCAAACGAGGAUCAAUGGAUCAAGACUUCGGUCAAGUGAAGUUGAGGACAGUGGCGGACGGGUGAGUAACGCGUGAGGAACCUGCCUCGGAGUGGGGAAUAACAGUUGGAAACAGCUGCUAAUACCGCAUAAUGCAUACGGAUCGCAUGGUCUGUAUGCCAAAGAUUUAUCGCUCUGAGAUGGCCUCGCGUCUGAUUAGCUAGUUGGCGGGGUAACGGCCCACCAAGGCGACGAUCAGUAGCCGGACUGAGAGGUCGGCCGGCCACAUUGGGACUGAGACACGGCCCAG
rnacentral:rRNA from 1 species